AAAUUUAGGGUCAUUAAACCAAGGGCCUUCAAAGCCCAAACCAGGGCCAACGCCCUAAUUUCUG
rnacentral:tRNA from 1 species